AGGCAGUCUUGAAAGUCAAAUGGUAACAUCUCAGCUGUUUAGAAUUAUCUGCUUCAUGGGGGUUAACAUCUCCAAUGCCUUGCUGCUUCUUCUGUAGGACCUUGAAGAGAAACCAGCCAGAGAAAGGUCAGAUUACCCACAAAGGGAAGCCCAUCAGACUAACAGCUGAUCUCUCCACAGAAACUCUACAAGCCAGAAGAGAGUGGGGGCCAAUAUUCAACAUUCUUAAAGAAAAGAAUUUUCAAUCCAGAAUUUCACAUCCAGCCAAACUAAGCUUCAUAAGUGAAGGAGAAAUAAAAUCCUUUACAGACAAACAACCGCUGAGAGAUUUUGUCACCACCAGGCCUUCCCUAAAAGAGCUCCUGAAGGAAGCGCAAAACAUGGAAAGGAAAAACCGGUACCAGCCACUGAAAAAACGUGCCAAAUUGUAAAGACCAUCAAUGCUAGGAAGAAACUGCGUCAACUAACGAGCAAUAUAACCAGCUUAACAUCAUUAUGACAGGAUCAAAUUCACACAUAACAAUAUUAACCUUAAAUGUAAAUGGGUUAAAUUCUCCAAUUAAAAGACACAGACUGGCAAAUUGGAUAAAGAGUCAAGACCCAUCAGUGGGCUGUAUUCAGGAGACCCAUCUUAUGUGCAGAGACACACAUAGGUUCAAAAUAAAGGGAUGGAGGAAGAUCUACCAAGCAAAUGGAAAACAAAAAGAGGCAGGGGUUGCAAUCCUAGUCUCUGAUAAAACAGACUUUAAACCAACAAAGAUCAAAAGAGACAAAGAAGGCCAUUACAUAAUGGUAAAGGGAUCAAUUCAACAAGAAGAGCUAACUAUCCUAAAUAUAUGUGCACGCAGUACAGGAGCACCCAGAUUCAUAAAGAAAGUCCUUAGAGGCCUACAAAGAGACUUAGACUCCCACACAAUAUUAAUGGGAGACUUUAACACCCCACUGUCAACAUUAGACAGAGCAACAAGACAGAAAGUUAGUCGAAGCAGUUCUCCACAAAAAGAGCAAAGCUGGAGGCAUCACACUACUUGACUUCAAAAUAUAUUACAAAGCUACAGUAACCAAAACAGUGUAGUACCGGUAUAAAAACAAACACAAUGAUCAGCAGAACCCAAUAGAGAUCCCAGAAAUAAAUCCAUGUAUUUGCAGCCCACUUGUUUUUAAUAAAGAUGUUACGACUAUACAUUUGGAAAAAGACAUGUUCUUCAAUAUAUGAUGCUGGAAAAACUGUAUAUCCAUAUAUUAAUGAAUGAAACUAGACCCCUAUUUCUCAUCAUAAAGACUUAAAUGUAAUAGUUGAAAUUAUAAAAGUACUAGAAGAAAACACAGAGGAACAGCUUCAGGACAUUGUCCUGUUUUGUCAAGUGAUCUUGUUGGAAAUUUUAUAGCUAAGUGUUCAAAAGCACAGGCACCAAAAAUAAGAAUAGAAAUAUGGGACCAUAUUAAAGUAAAUAGUUUCUCCAUAGCAGAGGAAACAAUCAAUCAACAGAGUGAGAAGACAACCUGUAAAAUGGAAGAAAAAUGUUUGUAAACUAUUCAUUUGAUAAAAGACCAAUAUUCAGGAUAUUCAAGAAACCCAAACAAUUCAACAGUAAACAAAUAAGCCCAUGAAAAAGUAGGCACACUUUUUCUAUUUACCUCCAUAAAUAGACAAUUGUCAAAGAGAGACUUACAAAUGGCCAACACGAAUAUGAAAAAAUACUCAAUGUUCCCAAUCAUCAGGGAAAUGCAAAUUAUAACCACAGUGAAAUAUAAUCUCAUCCCAGUUUGAAUGGCUAUUAUAAAAAAGACAAAAAAUAACCAAUGCUGAUGAGGAGGUAGAGAAAAAGGAACUCUUGUGCACUGGUUGGUGGAAAUGUAAACCAGUACAGCCACUGUGGAGAACAAUAUGAGGUUUUUCAAAAAACUAAAACUCAUACUAUUACAGGAUACAAUUCAGCAAGCCUGCUAUUGAAUAAUUAUCCUAAAGAUAGGUAAUCAGUAUAUCAAAGGGAUACCUGCACUCCUGUGUUUAUUCAUAAGAGUCAAGAUAUGGAAUCAAUCUAAGUGCUCAUCAGUGCAUAAAUUGAUAAAGAAAAUGUGGUAUAUGACGGGUGUGGUGGCUCAUGCCUGUAAUACCAGCAAUUUGGGAGGCUGAGGCAGGUGGAUCAUGAGGUCAAGAGUUCAAGGCCAGCCUGGACAACAUGGUGAAACCCUGUCUCUACUAAAAACACAAAGAUUAGCUGGAUGUGGUGGCAGGUGCCUGUAAUCCCAGCUACUCGGGAGGCUGAGGCAGGAGAAUUGCUUGAACCUGGGAGGCGGAGGUUACAGUGAGCUGAGAUCAUGCCACUACACUCUAACCUGGGCGACAGAGCAAGACUCCAUCACUCCCCACCCCCCAAAAAAGAAAAAAGAAAAUGUGGUAUAAAUGCACAAAAAAAUACUAUUCAGUUAUAAAAAAGAAUAAAAUCCUUUCAUUUGUAACAACAUGGAUGAAACUAGAUGCCAUUAUCUUAAGUGAAAUAACCCAGGCACUGAAAGACAAAUAUCACAUUUUCUAAGUCAUAGGGGAGCCUAAAAGAAUUAAUCUCAUGAAGGUAGAGAUUUGAAUGAUGGUUAUCAAAUGCUGGAGAAGGUAGAGAAGUAGAGUAUAAAGAAAGGUUGGUUAAUGGGUACUACCAUAAGAUCAAUAGAGGGAAUAAGGUUUAGUAUUCAAUAGCACAGUACAGUGACUAUAGUUAAUAAUAAUUUAUUACUCAUUUCAAAAUAGCUGUAAGACAUGAAAUGUUCUCAAUGCAAAAUUUGAUAAACGUUUGAGAUGAUGAAUAUCCUAAUUACCCUGAUUUGAUGAUUAUACAUUGUAUGCAUGUAUCAAAAUAUCACAUAUAUCCCAUAAUAUGUACAAUUAUUUUGUGUCAAUAAAAAUGGUUAAAAAAAGAAACUAAUUGGCACUUGUAUAUUAACAUUGACUCCUUCAACCUUGUUGUAAAUAACGGGGAAAUAAACAAGGAAAUAUUUAAAGCAUGAGAUAAAAUCAGUCCUCCAUUGCUGGCUUUGAAGAUGAAAAAACCAUCAGUUUAUUCAUCGUUAACCCUGAGUCAAUGAAUGGGGGCAGCAUCCGGGAACUGGAAAUGCCCCUCCCCUGAAAGCUAGCAAAGAAAAAAGAAGACUUCAGUCUCAUAACCACAAGGAAAUAAAUUCUAACAAUCACCUAAAUCAGCAAGGAAAUUGGUGGCUCCCUAAAGCCUUCAGAAGGAAUGAAACGCUGCCAACACCUUGAUUUCAGCUGAUGAGACCUUGGUUUAGACUUCUAACCUACAGAGCUGUAAGAUAAUAAAUUUGUGUCUCUUUAAGCCACUAAGUUUGUGAUUGUUUGUUAUGGCAGCAAUAGAACACUAAUAUAAUCUAUGAGUCAAUGUUCUCAGAUUUACAAGCAAGAGAAGAUAAUCUCAAUUGCUUUUACAUAGAUGUAGCUUAUAAAAUGAUACAUACCAAAGGCUCUCAAACCAACUUUAAAGCAAAUUGUUCAAGACCAAAGCCCCUAAACCAGACCAGAGAUGUGACUUAAUAAUAAAUCUGUUACUUGAGAGCCAUAAAUAAACCAUAAAGAAAUAAAUAAAUAACCACAAAUAAAUCACCGCUCUCUUCACUUUCCAGCUUUUACACCAGGAAUUUUGUUUUCUGACCACUGACAAAGUGCUGCUGGCGCUAUGAUUCCAACCACCAAACACUAAUAUGCUUGCCAUCACACAUGAAAGCAAAAAUGGAAGUGUCACAUAGAAUCAUUUUCGAAACUGCUUACUUCGGAAUUGAAAUCUUAUUGGUUUACAUCAGACCUUCAAUCAUACACUUAUAACCUGAUUGAAGGGGCUUCCUAGAAUUUGGGUUUCUACAUUUACAUUAGGAAAGUAGAGUUAAUUAUGGUGGCACAAGGCCAAAUCUGUGUAUUAUUUCAAAUAUAAUGUCUAUGAUGUUGGUAUAAUUAGAAGGUACUAAACUAGGGGAUUUAGGAUAAAAAUAUACCUGGAACCAAAAUAUACAUGAAAAUAUAGGUGUGAUAUGUAAAUAUGCAGAUAAAAAAAUAAGUGAGUUUAGGUAACGGCACAAUAGGAUGGGAACCAAGAUUAAGCUAGUAUUGGUAUUAGUCAGGGUUCUCCAGAGGGACAGGACUAAUAGGAUAGAUGUAUAUAUAAAGGGAGUCUAUUAAGGAGUAUUGACUCACACGGUCACAAGGUGAUGUCCCACAAUAGGCUGCCUGCAAGCUGAGGAGCAAGGAAGCAAGUCUGAGUUCCAAAGCCUCAAAAGUAGAGAAGCCGACAGUGUAGCCUUCAGUCUGUGCCCAAAGGCCUGAGACCCCCUGGCAAACCACUGAUGUAAGUUCAAGAGUCCAAAAGCUGAAUAAUUUGGAGUCUGAUAUUCAAGGGCAGGAAGCAUCCAGCACAGAGGAAAGAUGAAGGCCAGAAGACUCAGCAAAUCUACUCUUCCAUCUUCUCCUGCCUGCUUUAUUCUAGCCACACUGGCAGCUGAUUAGAGGGUGUCACCAGAUUGAGGGAGGGUCUGCCUCUCCCAGUCCACUGAUUCAAAUGUUAAUCUCCUUUGGCAACAUCCUCAUAGACACACCCAGGAACAAUAUUUUGCAUCCUUCAAUCCAAUGAAGUUAACACCCAAUAUUAACUAUCACAGCAACAUUCUCUGUUGCUUUGGUUAUAGAACUCUAUUUCUCUCCUGAUUACAGUAUAGGGAUAACUACUCUAUCCCUCUACUGUUCAUACUAUUAAGUAAGAACAUAUUAAUGAAAUAGUAACUCUGGGCCAUUCAAGGCAAAAUCCUACAAAUUCUAUUUUGGAGCACAUAUUAAGGAACAUCUCAGAAGUGUUUAAAAUAGAAGAUAAAGAAGACAUUAACGUAGGGGGGAACUUGGAUGGAAAUACAAUGGAUUCUUGUGUAUUCACUGUGUUUUGUUCCAUAAAGUCUCCAAAUACAUAGAAUUAGAGAAUACUGAAUCAUUGUUCUAAAGAAAAAUACAGGGUUAGAUUGUGCAAGUCUCUGGUCACAAUGUUUUUUCAAUUGAUUAAAACAUAAACUUGGCUGGGCUUGGUGGCUCACGCUUGUAAUCCCAGCACUUUGGGAGGCUGAGGCGGGCGGAUCACGAGGUCAGGAGAUGGAGACCAUCCUGGCUAACAUGGUGAAACCUUGUCUCUACUAAAAAUACAAAAAAAUUAGCCGGGCAUGGUCCCUGUAGUCCCAGCUACUCGGGAGCCUGAGGCAGGAGAAUGGAAUGAACCUGGGAGGUGGAGCUUGCAGUGAGCGGGGAUCACACCACUGCAUUCCAGCCUGGGCAACAGAGCAAGACUCUGUCUCAAAAACAAAAUAAAACAAAACAAAAAAACCCAUAAACUUGCUUCAAGUGUAUUUAUUUUCAAAGAAACUUUAUUUAGUAUAUAUGGUUAGUUCAUUAAACCACAGCACUAUAACUCAGAUCUGAAUAAAAGCUUAUCUAACACGUGUAUUUUCCUGGUAAGGCACAUCACAGACUUUUUGCACUUAGGAACACUGGGUAGUACCUUAUGAUUGGAGAUCAUUUUAAACAGCAAAAUAAGAAACAAUAAAGGACAAAAAUGUGGAAAAAAUGGUACUAAAUAGACUGCAAAGAUGAAACUUGUUUGGCACAUGAGGGCUGAAACAAAAUGCAGAGGACCGUCUACCUCAGCUGAGAUCAUGAAAGUUGGGUGACUCCAGCUUUUUGCCAUUUUGUGCAUGUCUGGAAAUGACUGUAAGCACCACAAUCAUUGAUGUAAGGAUUAAAAAUAAAUUGUGCUGAGUUGUCAAAUUUGCAAAUGUGAAAUCUGAUUAUUAUGAGAAUCAACUGCAUAUGGAACAUACAGAGCCAGCAUGUGA
rnacentral:lncRNA from 1 species